AUGGCCGACAUAGAGCACGCCGUGGCUAGGGCGGAUCCUGGCUUCGCCAUGAGGGAUUUCAUUGUCAACCUCAUCAACGUUCACGUCGUAGGCGAGGACGCCGUGGUGGCGGAGCCACAGGAGCAUAGCAGGUGGAUCCUCAUGUGCCUUCUAUUUGCCGGCGGCGCCGUCACGAUGCUCGCCUUCUAUUACCUGAUGAUCAAUGACUACAGCUUCUUCACGGUCUGUGUUCCAGUCGGUUUUGUUUCAGCUGGUAUUAUACUCAUGUCUAUGACUGCCGUCCGAGAUUGCCAAGAUGGGUUCCAACAUGAGGAUAAUAAAUUCUUAGAUGCCAUGCUCCAGUUAUAG
rnacentral:rRNA from 1 species